CCCUUAGAUGUUCUGGGCCGCACGCGUGCUACACUGAGUGGAUCAGCGGGUCAGGUUGCGCGAAAGUGUUUCCUAAUCUUGAAAUCCGCUCGUGAUGGGGAUUGACGGUUGCAAUUUUCCGUCAUGAACGAGGAAUACCUUGUAAGCGCGGGUCAUCAUCCCGCGCUGAAUACGUCCCUGCCCUUUGUACACACCGCCCGUCGCUCCUACCGAUUGAGUGGUCCGGUGAAGCUUUGGGAUCUGAGCGGAAAGAGCGUUUCGCUGUUUCUGCUCGGAAAACUCAGUCGAACCUUAUCAUUUAGAGGAAGGAGAAGUCGUAACA
rnacentral:rRNA from 1 species